UACGUAGGGGGCAAGCGUUGUCCGGAUUUAUUGGGCGUAAAGAGCGUGUAGGCGGUUAUACAGGUCCGCUGUGAAAACUGGAGGCUUAACCUCCAGACGUCCGGUGGAAACCGUAUGACUAGAGUCCGGAAGAGGAGAGUGGAAUUCCUGGUGUAGCGGUGAAAUGCGCAGAUAUCAGGAAGAACACCCGUGGCGAAGGCGGCUCUCUGGGACGGUACUGACGCUGAGACGCGAAAGCGUGGGGAGCGAACAGG
rnacentral:rRNA from 1 species